UUUACAAAUAAUCAACAAUUCAAAGUCAUAUAAAAUUUGAAAUAGAUCUUAUCCUCAUAGUAUACACCAACACUACAUAACUAAGGGUAUGCAAAGACAUCUCAUUCUCAAACAUGCAUCUCAAAUUUUAGGCAUCUUCAAAAGACAUUUCAUAAAACGAAACAAACAGAUCUCAAAACUUAUCCAGUAAUGUAAUAAA